UGGGGAAUAUUGCACAAUGGGCGCAAGCCUGAUGCAGCCAUGCCGCGUGUGUGAAGAAGGCCUUCGGGUUGUAAAGCACUUUCAGCGAGGAGGAAGGUGGUGAGCUUAAUACGCUCAUCAAUUGACGUUACUCGCAGAAGAAGCACCGGCUAACUCCGUGCCAGCAGCCGCGGUAAUACGGAGGGUGCAAGCGUUAAUCGGAAUUACUGGGCGUAAAGCGCACGCAGGCGGUUUGUUAAGUCAGAUGUGAAAUCCCCGGGCUCAACCUGGGAACUGCAUUUGAAACUGGCAAGCUAGAGUCUCGUAGAGGGGGGUAGAAUUCCAGGUGUAGCGGUGAAAUGCGUAGAGAUCUGGAGGAAUACCGGUGGCGAAGGCGGCCCCCUGGACGAAGACUGACGCUCAGGUGCGAAAGCGUGGGGCAGCAAACAGGAUUAGAUACCCUGGUAGUCCACGCUGUAAAACGAUGUCGAUUUUGGAGGUUGUGCCCUUGAGGCGUGGCUUCCGGAGCUAACGCGUUAAAUCGACCGCCUGGGGAGUACGGCCGCAAGGUUAAAACUC
rnacentral:rRNA from 1 species